GGAAAAGACUAGCCCAUUUAACCGCCUUUCUCAACCGACCAAUCAGAUAACUUCUUUGGCGUGCAUUUGGUCCAUCAGGCAAUGUUUUCUUUUCCAUAGCAUGACUCCAAGCUCUUUCAGAUGUAUAGAGAACCAAGUGAAGAAACCUUACUUCGGUGACCGUAGUUACUGAAAUUGAACGCUUAGUGUACUUCAAACGUCCGUGAGUAAACUUGAGUGAUUUAUACAAUCUCCUUAAUCGAGCCGUACAAUACCUCCUGUAACGAGCAUAAUCACCGAAUCUCAGUCCAUGCUGCAUUUGAGCAGAUUUUAAAAGUUGUAACACAUUGACGGAGAACUUAGGGUUACUGAUCUGAUCAGAAGGAAUAGAACUCUGAUCGUCAAUUUCCAUGGCGGAAGUUUCC
rnacentral:misc_RNA from 1 species